GACAGAGGGUGCAAACGUUGUUCGGAAUCACUGGGCGUAAAGGGCGUGUAGGCGGGAAGGUAAGUCGGGUGUGAAAUCCCUGGGCUCAACCCAGGAACUGCACUCGAAACUACUUUUCUUGAGUGCCGGAGAGGAAAGCGGAAUUCCUGGUGUAGAGGUGAAAUUCGUAGAUAUCAGGAGGAACACCAGUGGCGAAGGCGACUUCCUGGCCUGUUCUUGACGCUGAGGCGCGAAAGCUAGGGGAGCAAACGGG
rnacentral:rRNA from 1 species